rnacentral:rRNA from 1 species
CUGGGAAACUGGGGAUAAUACUGGAUAUUAGGCUAUGCCUGGAAUGGUUUGCCUUUGAAAUGUUUUUUUCGCCUAAGGAUAGGUCUGCGGCUGAUUAGGUCGUUGGUGGGGUAAUGGCCCACCAAGCCGAUGAUCGGUACGGGUUGUGAGAGCAAGGGCCCGGAGAUGGAACCUGAGACAAGGUUCCAGACCCUACGGGGUGCAGCAGGCGCGAAACCUCCGCAAUGUACGAAAGUGCGACGGGGGGAUCCCAAGUGUUAUGCUUUUUUGUAUGACUUUUCAUUAGUGUAAAAAGCUUUUAGAAUAAGAGCUGGGCAAGACCGGUGCCAGCCGCCGCGGUAACACCGGCAGCUCGAGUGGUAGCUGUUUUUAUUGGGCCUAAAGCGUUCGUAGCCGGUUUGAUAAGUCUUUGGUGAAAGCUUGUAGCUUAACUAUAAGAAUUGCUGGAGAUACUAUUAGACUUGAAGUCGGGAGAGGUUAGAGGUACUACCGGGGUAGGGGUGAAAUCCUAUAAUCCUGGGAGGACCACCUGUGGCGAAGGCGUCUAACUGGAACGAUCUUGACGGUGAGUAACGAAAGCCAGGGGCGCGAACCGGAUUAGAUACCCGGGUAGUCCUGGCCGUAAACGAUGUGGACUUGGUGUUGGAAUGGCUUUGAGUUGUUCCGGUGCCGAAGGGAAGCUGUUAAGUCCACCGCCUGGGAAGUACGGUCGCAAGACUGAAACUUAA